rnacentral:rRNA from 1 species
GAGUUUGAUCCUGGCUCAGGAUGAACGCUGGCGGUAUGCUUUACACAUGCAAGUCGUACGAGAGUUUUUAACUCAAGUGGCGGACGGGUGAGUAACACGUAAGAAUUUGCCUUUAGGAGGGGGAUAACAACUGGAAACGGUUGCUAAUACCCCAUAUGCUUUCGAGUAAAAUGGAUUUUCCGCCUAAAGAGAAGCUUGCGGCUGAUUAGCUUGUUGGUGAGGUAAUGGCUCACCAAGGCGACGAUCAGUAUCUGGUUUGAGAGGACGAUCAGACACACUGGAACUGAGACACGGUCCAGACUCCUACGGGAGGCAGCAGUGGGGAAUUUUCCGCAAUGGGCGAAAGCCUGACGGAGCAAUACCGCGUGAGGGAUGACGGCCUAUGGGUUGUAAACCUCUUUUUUCAGGGAGGAAUCAAUGACGUGUACCUGAAGAAUAAGCAUCGGCUAACUCCGUGCCAGCAGCCGCGGUAAGACGGAGGAUGCAAGUGUUAUCCGGAAUCACUGGGCGUAAAGCGUCUGUAGGUGGUCAAAUAAGUCAACUGUUAAAUCUUGAGGCUCAACCUCAAAAUCGCAGUCGAAACUAUUCGACUAGAGUAUAGUAGGGGUAAAGGGAAUUUCCAGUGGAGCGGUGAAAUGCGUAGAGAUUGGAAAGAACACCGAUGGCGAAGGCACUUUACUGGGCUAUUACUAACACUGAGAGACGAAAGCUAGGGUAGCAAAUGGGAUUAGAUACCCCAGUAGUCCUAGCCGUAAACAAUGGAUACUAGAUGUUGAACAGAUCGACCUGUGCAGUAUCAAAGCUAACGCGUUAAGUAUCCCGCCUGGGAAGUAUGCUCGCAAGAGUGAAACUCAAAUGAAUUGACGGGGAAGGGC